AUUCAUGUAUAUCGAGGGAUGAGUAUACAAUACAAUAUUGAUAGAAGGCAUGAUGGAAAAAGUACCAAGACCUUUCAGUAAAAGAUGAAUACAUUUUUGCAAGGCAAUUUUAACUUGUUUAAGUUUUAAACAAGUGUCCUCAAUGUAAGAUAACAGCAGAUCUGAAAUAAUUUAUUGAAAUAUGCUUGUUCACAUGUUUUGCCUUAGUUUAUGAAGGUGGCAACAUUUUCUGGAUUUGCCAGUGUUCAGAAUCCAUUGACCCAGAACACAGAGACACUGUCUCAUAUCUAUUGGCCAUUGUCAACUAGUCUAAUAAAAACCCUCUGUCAAGGGUGGCAGAUCUUGGCAGCCUCAGCUUUGUCAGUCAAUCGGUAGGGAUACAAAUUUGGCAGACAAUUUCCUGAUCCUUGCCAAUAUUCACCAGCCUAGUGGAGGAAGUGCCAAUAGAAUUCAUCUGUAUUGUCACAAGGCCACCACUAAAGAGGCUUUCAUAAAACAACAGUGUGAAUAUUUCUGAAGACAAUAGCUGGUGCCAUUUGAUAAGAUGGUAUGGGUGCUGUAUAUGUCAUAUAUCCGCAUUACAAAAAAGUGUACAUGGGAAAGCAUCUAGAAACAGAAACUAUAAGACUUCUGAAAGAUCAUCAAAUGUAUUUUUUCUUCUUCUCAUUGGAAAGCCAAUGAAAAGAAGAAAGAAUACAUUUGAUGCAACUUUUCAUGUACAUUAGCUAUUUUUUCUCCAACCUUCCUUCAUCAGAUAGUUGCAUUAACUUAUUAAUUUAUUUUAACUCUAUGUUGUACUUUUUGUCAUCAUUCAUUUUAUAUAUUCUGGUGCUAUAAGUUUGCAAAAUAUUGGUGGCUGAAGGGUUGUAUAUAUAUAAAUAAUUUCAAACUUAUGAAAAACCUAUCACAGGGUUUUCGUGGAAAGAUUUGUUCUAAGGAGGUUCACAUUUGCCUUUCUCUGAGGCUGAGAGAUUGUGAUUUGCCCAAGGUCACCCAAUAGGUUUCCAUGGUUAAGCAGAGGUUUGAAUCCUUGUCUCCGGAGUCAGUACAAUACUCAAACACCUGCACCACUUUGGCUCACUUUGAGUGUUAUUUUAUAUGCCAUGUUAAGAGGAAAAUAAUAGUCAAUUCUGAAAAAAACUACAUUUUAUAAAUAUAAUUACUUUCAGAAAUGUUAUUAUAUAUCAGAGUUUUAUAACUAAUGUUUUGAAUAUAUCUUCAUAGUGAAGCCAGUUUUAAAGUAUUCCAUGAAGAAAUCGCUGAACACUGGACAGUCAGUGAAUUAGAUCUUCAGGAGGCAUUUCCAUAUAAUAGGUCAAGAAAAAUGAAGGGUUAUGAAGCUCAUGGAACCAAAGAUAUGGAAAAAGACUUUUUAGGAACACUUGAACAACCUCAUCAUACUCAGGGACUAUAAACUUGCAAAUAGACUCCCUAAUCCAUUCUAAUAGCUUUCCUGGUACGGAGGUCAGACUGACAGGUUGUAGUUCCCUGGAUCUUCUUUUUUACCCUUUUAGAAAAGAAGAACAAUCUUUGCUCUUCCCCAGUCCUUUGGCACCGCACAAGUUCUCCAAAUUUUCUCAGAAAGAAUGGCAAGUGGUUGAGAGACCAUCAGCACAUUCAGAAUUUUUGGAUGCAUUUAAACUGGCCUUGCAGUUUUGAACUUAUUUAGAUUAGGUAAACUGUUACUAUCUCUUUGCCAAUUUUGAUUUGUGGUCUAGAUCCCUUACUGCUGAAGUGUGGAUGCACAGAGCUCAGCUUAUGGGAAAAAUUGGAACAAAUAGGUAUUGAGUAGCUCUGCCUUUUGGUGUGACAUAUUAGCUCUGAGAUAUCCCAUAAAGGAGCCCCCGGUGGUGCGGCGGAUUAAAUCGCUGAGCUGCUGAACUUGCUGACCUCCUGUUGCCUUGCCUUCCUGUUGGCACGUUUCUCCCUUAAGCUCUCAAUUCGUGCCUCUUCGAACUCCGCAGCACUGCUGGUCAUAGCUGACCUCCAAUUAGAGCGCUCAAGGGCCAGGGCUUCCCAGUUGUCAGUGUCUAUGCCACAGUUUUUAUGAUUGGCUUUAAGCCCAUCUUUAAAUCUCUUUUCCUGCCCACCAACAUUCUGUUUUCCAUUAUUGAGUUCGGAGUAGAGUAGCUGCUUUGGGAGAUGGUGAUUGGGCAUUCGGACAAUGUGGCCAGUCCAGCGGAGUUGAUGGCGUAGGAGCAUUGCUUCAAUGCUGGUGGUCUUUGCUUCUUCCAGCAUGCUGGCGUUUGUCCGCCUGUCUUCCCAAACAAUUUGCAGGAUUUUUCUGAGGCAACGCUGAUGGAAUCGCUCCAGGAGUUGAGUGUGACGUCUGUAGACAGUCCGCGUUUUGCAGGCAUAGAGUAGGGCUGGGAGGACAAUGGCUUUAUAAACAAGCACCUUGGUAUCUCUACGGAUGUCCCGAUCAUCAAACACUCUCUGCUUCAUUCGGAAAAAUGCUGCACUCGCAGAGCUCAGGCGGUGUUGUAUUUCAGUGUCAAUGUUGACUUUUGUGGAGAGGUGGCUGCCACGUUAGCGGAAAUGGUCAACGUUUUCUAAUGUUACACCAUUAAGCUGUAUUCCUGGCAUUGCAGAGGGAUUAGCUGAUGCCUGUUGGAAGAGCACUUUGGUUUUCUCGAUGUUCAAUGAGAGGCCGAGCUUCUUGUGUGUUUAGAGUGGCUUGUAGGUCUUCUUCUGAAUGCGCACAGACUACAUUGUCAUUGGCAUAUUGGAGUUCUAUAAUAGAUGUUGUGGUGACCUUGGUUUUGGCUUUCAGUCUGCUGAGGUUAAAUAGCUUGCCAUCUGUCCGAUAGAUGAUUCCCAUCAACAAGGUGAAGCAUCAUAGCAAUGAAGAUGGAAAAUAAGGUAGGGGCAAUGAAACAUCCCUGCUUGACACCUGACACCACCUUAAAUGGCUCACUUUGGGAGCCGUUGCUGUCCAAGACUGUUGCCAUCAUGUCAUCAUGGAGGAGCCGCAGGAUGUUCACAAAUUUGUCAGGACACCCGAUUUUUUGGAGGAUGGUCCAGAGAGCGCUGCGAUUCACUGUGUCGAAUGCCUUUGCAAGGUCAAUUAAUGCCAUGUAUAGAGGUUGAUUUUGUUCCCUGCAUUUUUCUUGGAGCUGUUGUGCAGUGAAGAUCAUGUCCACUGUUCCUCUGGAGGGGCAGAAGCCAUUCUGGGAUUCUGGGACAGUGUCUUCUGAAACAGGAAGAAGGCGGUUUGCAAGGAUUCUUGCAAGGAUUUUCCCAGCGGAGGUUAGAAGGGAGAUACCGCGAUAGUUCCCACAGUCUGUUCUGUCCCCUUUCUUUAAGGGUGAUGAUGGUGGCAUCCUUGAAGUCUUCUGGGAUUUUCUCGGUCACCCAUACUUUUUCAAUGAGCUGGUGGAGUUGUUGUAUCAGCUCAGGUCCACCCUCUUUGAAGAUUUCAGCAGGGAUCCCAUUAGGUCCGCUGGCUUUGUUAUUUUUUUUGUUGGCUGAUGGCAUUGCUGACUUCUGAACUAGGCAGUGCUGCAAGCUCAUCCCUGGUUUGUUGUUGCGGGAUUUGUGAGAGGGCCUCUUCGGCCACAUUGGAGCUGCGAUUCAGAAGAUUCUGAUAGUGGUCUUUCCAACGUAGUGCAAUUGAUGUUUUGUCCUUCAGAAGUUUGGUUCCAUCUGAUGAGCGUAGAGGUUGUAUGCCCUUGGUCCGUAGAUUAUCUUUGUGGCUUUGAAAAAUCCCUGAGCAUUAAGGGUAUCUGCAAAGUGUUGGAUUUCUUCAGCCUUCUUUGGCCACCAGAUGUUCUUGAUUUUUCUGGUCCUUCUUUGGACCUCAGCUUUUGCACUAGCAUAGGUCUUUUUCUUAGCAGCACAGCUGGUGUCUCUCUGCCAUGUUUGGAAGGCUUUCCUUUUGUUAUCAAUUAACUGUUGGAUCUCUUUGUCAUUAUCGUCAAACCAGUCUUGAUGUUUCUUAGUUUGAUAUCCAAUGGUUUCUUCACAGGCUGUGAAGGUUGUGCUCUCCGCAUUUGGUGAGAAGCAAGAUGCCAUUCGAGUUGUUGUUUCCAACCCCGUCUUUUCCUAUGAUCCCUGGCCACAGGUCGGAGUCCCGUCCGACUCUUGCAUUAAAGUCCCCCAGGGGGAUGAUUUUGUCCUCCUUAGGUAUCUCCGAUAGGAUAGUGUCCAGCUGACAAUAAAAUUUUUCUUUGAUGUCUUCGUCAGCAUCUAGUGUUGGUGCAUAGGCACUUAUGAUGGUUGCCUGUUGGUUUUUGCCACGGUUAAUUUGGAAGGUUGAGAAUCGUUCGUUAAUGCCAAUGGUUGCUCCAGUCAGGUGCUUCACCAGGUCAUUUCUGAUAGCAAAGCCAACUCCGUGUAUUCUUCACUCUUCUUCAGGCAGUCCCUUCCAGAAGAAGGUGUAGCCUCCUUUUUCUUCCUUCAGCUGUCUCUCUCCUGCUCUCUGGGUCUCCUGAAGGGCUGCUAUGUUGAUGUUAAAGUGUCCCAGCUUCUUUGCAAUGAUAGCAAUCCUGCAUUCGGGGCAUUCACUGUCAGUGUUAUCCAACAGUGUCCAUACGAUCCAUGUUCCAAAGUUCAUUUUUCUUUUUUGGCAGCAGAGUGGUGACCCCUCUGGACGUGGCAGUCCAGCCAGGGAUAAGACAGGCAGACUAUGUUUUGGGCACCUUUUCUAGCCCCUUCCCUGUGUGGGGUGAGCAGAGCGGAUCCUAAAAAGGGCUGCUCAAUCAUGGAUACAGCUGCCGGACUACUCAACUGCCUCGGACCUUGAAGAAGAGCGACUGAGUCCGUAUCCACCGCCCAUGUGCCAGUCUGUGAAUAGGGGCUUCCAGAUUUCACAGUCCUGCCCCCGUCACCACUCGCUGAUUGCCAUGGGACUUUUGUUGGUUUGUUUUCAUUUUGCUUGGAAGAUGCCUGAGCGUGACUUUUUUUAAUGUGUGGAGGUCGGUGCACAGCCAGUCAACACACAUUCUUCACAGAGUGAGGUCCCAGCAGUGGUGUGGUUAACACAACGAGAGUGGCUUCUCAGUCUGUUGCAGCCUUCUUCCGCCUUCACAGCCGUUGUAGCAUGCACCAUGUUAUCCUCCGCCUGCUCCGCCGUUGAGGUCUUAGAGUCUUAGGAUUGUUCUUGGUCUGGAUCCUCCCCUGUGGCCACUCCUGGGAGUGUGUGACUCCAGUGGUUGUGCCCUCAGGUUCAUUGGAACACGCAAGCCCCCUCACCACGGCAAGGUGACAAUCCAUCAAGGGAGAAUAUUUUCCAUAAAGUAAUAUAGAUGUGACAAACAUUAUUUUGCUGGGCUAAGGCACUCUAUCCUAUACAUCUGAAUUUUGGCCUGAAAGACCAGAUAAAAUUGGGGGUUCAUUGAAGCAAUAUUAUAAACAAGCACAACUAUAUAUCACUAUUUUUGAGUAGCCUGGGAAAAUAUAACCUUCAGAACCAUGUGAUGAAAUCUGAAAUGCCAGUUUAAUAUCCAGAAGAGUGAUAUACUAUAAUUAUGGAAGCACUUAUUUGGCAUGCUACCUCAGCAGUCCCAGCUUGGAAUGUGGGUGGGGUCUUGGCUGUUUGCCUUUUGAGGCAAGCAUGUGGUGUUGUUUUUUGUUUGUUAAUGUUUAUGCAUGUGUGCAUGCAAUGAGCCAAGUAGUAUUCCUCAAAUGUUACCUGCACAUCCUAGAUUUAAUAAACAGUUCUAUCAAAUGGCAUCAAACAUUGUCCUCCUGACAAGCUAUUGUGCUUUGACCCAUUAAAGUUGCAACAGAAAUUAUAGAAAGAGGUUUGCUGCACCACAUCUUUUAUAAAACAAACUGUUUUAAGAUGCUUAAUUUCUAACCCCCCCCCCCCCCCCCCAAUAUUUUGAAGUGUUGUCGAAGGCUUUCAUGGCCAGAAUCACUGGGUUGCUGUGAGUUUUCAGGGCUAUAUGUCUUUGUUAUGACCCUGUUGUCCACCCUCCUAAUGGGAGAGGAGAAAUGUAGGUUCCUCUCGGUGGCACAGCCUGAGGCUACAAAGGAUGACAUUAAUGACAGUAUACACCAAGUCGAUAACAGCCGUGUUACAGAAGCAUUCUCUCCUGACAUUUAACCCAUAUCUAUUGCAGGCAUCCACAGAGGUUGUGAGGUAUAUUGGAAACUAAGCAAGGGAGGUUUAUAUAUCUUGUCUCUUGGAGGCAAGUGUGAAUGUUGUAAUCAAUCACCUUGAUUGGCAUUUAAUGGCCUUGCACCUCAAAGCUUGGCUAAUUCCUACCUGGGGGAAUCCUUUGUUGGGAGGUGUUAGCUGGCCCUGAUAGUUUCAUGUCUGGAAUUCCCGUUUUCAGAGUGGUGUUCUUUAAAGAUUUUGAUGGCUUUUUGCAAUUAGAAAAUAAUAUUUUCUCCUUCUUUACCAAGAAAAAAAAUGGACAUCUUGAAUGAUGCUUUGCCAGCAUACUUACAUGUGCACACAAAUACACAUAUACAAAUACACAUUGAUUGUAUGGCAACCUCGUUGUUCUCAGGCCUGCUCCCAACAUUAGCUUUUCCAGAACCAGCACCAGCAGUUAGCCGACAACCUGGAGAAAAAAAAAUAGGAAUGCACCUACUGCCAUUUUCCCCAGUAAGCAAUUAUAAAUUGACCAAAGUGGAGUCAAAAGUUAGCUCUGUACUAUUUCUGCUGUGAAAAUCAGUUUGGAAGUUACUCAUUAAAAAAGCAUAUUAUAAAUUAGCACUACUACAUUUUUAUAGUAGCAAAUGUACAUUAUGGCUGUAGAUUGAUGGGGUGACAUCGCUUCUUUUCAAACAUAGCAGUAAGGUUUAAGGCUAUUUUAGUGUGGUACUGUCUUAUACACUAUUCUGAGUGUUGAUGUGCUGAUGAAACAAGCAGGUCGUCAGUCUGUUUUGUACCACACUAGUGACCUAUGCCAUUUGAAAAUUUGUUUUUUAAAAAAGGUUAUUUUAAUUAGUUUUAAGAAAUGAGAAAGAGCUAUUUUUUUUAAAAAAAAACACACACACAUACACAUUUUCCAGUCAUAUAAAACAACAUUCAAAAGAUACCUACAAACAUUACAACUUCUACACACUCCUGCUGUCGACCGCGUUUUAGGGGAUCGGGCCCUUAAGGAGAGACCCGAUCAGGUCCUGAGAGAACGGACCUUGGCGAAGCCAAAAGGAGAAUUACGAGCCGCAAUACAACCUGAAGCCGAAAUGAAGAAGGUCCGCGAAAGUUGAAUGAAAAUCCGCCAAGGAGUCUUUAUUGAGCAAUUCAGCUGAAGAGGACUCUAGUAGUGAUCAUUCGGUCUACUAGGGUACCAUACAAUCAAAAUAAAGCCAUAUUUAUACAAAAUUUCAGUCUGACAGCCCUUUGAAUUUCCCGCCCUGCUCCCCCGCCUAUCUGAUCGUUGAUAGGCUAGAAGGUUGAACGAGGCGGGCUUUCGCUUCCCGCCUCGUUUCGUUGGCCCAAUAGGAAGCUGCCUUAUGUCUCUACUCGGGCCAAUCAGGAGAGAGAAGGCGGGAGUUAUCGAAACAAUGAGGUGACGGGACAGGAACUAGCAGAUAGACCGAUUUCUAAAGGGUGCUUAAUUUAUUAAUGGCAGCAAUCAAGGAUGUCCGGGUUUCUGUCACGUAUACAGAUUUUAGAUAUGCCUUGGGGUGUCAGAGAUGGAAGCAAAGAUGGGUGGUGAUGAGCCAUAUUGACAGGCUCUGCAGGGCGCCUUCCUGAGGUGUCCUGGAUAUUUCUUUGGGUGAGCUAUGACAAUGUUUGCCUUGGGGCGAAUCUCCUUUAGGUCAACACUCCGAAUUCGGUGACUCAAGCCCUAUAUUGUCCAUGCAUUUUGAAUUUGAUUGGAUUUAGCGGUGGCAGAUUAUCCUUUUGUUUUUGGGAAAGGAAGCCUGGGUCAUAGGAAAUGGGAUAAGUUCUGGGGUUCAGGUUGAGUUCAAAAUAUUUCCUAUUUGAUUUCAUGAUUUGACAAUUAUAUGAAAUAAAAUGAAAAAUAAAAUAAAGUUGGAAUAUAAA